rnacentral:tRNA from 1 species
GCCGAAGUGGUGGAAUUGGUAGACACGCCAUCUUGAGGGGGUGGUGGAUAACAUCCGUGCCGGUUCGAUUCCGGCCUUCGGCACCA